UCCCCGUUACCGGGGCAGUCUAGCUAGAAAAAUUCAACUAACUAUAAGGGUUGCGCUCGUUGAUGGACUUAACCAAACAUCUCACGACACGAGCUGACGACGGCCAUGCAGCACCUGUCACUGCGGCCCGAAGGCACAGUCCCCUUUCGAGGACCUUGGCAGGAUGUCAAACCCUGGUAAGGUUCUUCGCUUACCCUCGAAUUAAACAACACGCUCCACCGCUUGUGCGGGUCCCCGUCAAUUCCUUUAUGUUUUAAGCUUGCGCUCGUACUCCACAGGCGGGAUGCUUAACGCGUUAGCUUCGCUACUACCAGGGUCGAUACUGAUAACAGCUAGCAUCCAUAGUUUACAGCGUGGACUAC
rnacentral:misc_RNA from 1 species